rnacentral:rRNA from 1 species
GAUGAACGCUGGCGGCGUGCCUAAUACAUGCAAGUCGAGCGAACAGACGAGGAGCUUGCUCCUCUGACGUUAGCGGCGGACGGGUGAGUAACACGUGGAUAACCUACCUAUAAGACUGGGAUAACUUCGGGAAACCGGAGCUAAUACCGGAUAAUAUAUUGAACCGCAUGGUUCAAUAGUGAAAGACGGUUUUGCUGUCACUUAUAGAUGGAUCCGCGCCGCAUUAGCUAGUUGGUAAGGUAACGGCUUACCAAGGCAACGAUGCGUAGCCGACCUGAGAGGGGGAUCGGCCACACUGGAACUGAGACACGGUCCAGACUCCUACGGGAGGCAGCAGUAGGAAAUCUUCCGCAAGGGGCGAAAGCCUGACGGGGCAACGCCGCGUGAGUGAUGAAGGUCUUCGGAUCGUAAAACUCUGUUAUUAGGGAAGAACAAAUGUGUAAGUAACUAGGCACGUCUUGACGGUACCGAAUCAGAAAGCCACGGCUAACUACGU